AACUGCCAGUGGAAAUCGAUUUUUACUGGCUGUUGUCUUAAGCGAACCGCCAGUGAAAAUUGAUUUUCACUGUCGGUU
rnacentral:pre_miRNA from 7 species